rnacentral:rRNA from 1 species
AUUGAACGCUGGCGGCAGGCCUAACACAUGCAAGUCGAACGAGUGGAGGAAGGGUGAGUAAUGUCUGGGAAACUGCCCGAUGGAGGGGGAUAACUAGUGGAAACGGGAGCUAAUACCGCAUAACAUGGGAUGUGCCCAGAUGGGAUUAGCUAGUGGGUGGGGAAAAGGCUCACCUAGGAGACGAUCCCUAGCUGGUCUGAGAGGAUGACCAGCCACACUGGAACUGAGACACGGUCCAGACUCCUACGGGAGGCAGCAGUGGGGAAUAUUGCACAAUUGGCGCAAGCCUGAUGCAGCCAUGCCGCGUGUAUGAAGAAGGCCUUCGGGUUGUAAAGUACUUUCAGCGGGGAGGCGUUACCCGCAGAAGAAGCACCGGCUAACUCCGUGCCAGCAGCCGCGGUAAUUC